GAUGAACGCUGGCGGCGUGCCUAAUACAUGCAAGUCGAACGCUGAAGGAGGAGCUUGCCCUUCUGGAUGAUUUGCGCACGGGUGAGUAACGCGUAGGUAACCUGCCUGGUAGCGGGGGAUAACUAUUGGAAACGAUAGCUAAUACCGCAUGACAUCAGUUAUUGCAUGAUGACUGUUUAUAAGGGGCAACUGCUCCACUACCAGAUGGACCUGCGUUGUAUUAGUUAGUUGUUGAGGAAACGGCUCAACAAGGCGAAGAUACAUAGCCGACCUGAGAGGGGGAUCGGCCAAACUUGGACCUGGACACGGGCCAAACUCCUACGGGGAGGAGCAGUAGGGAAUCUUCGGGCAAGGACGGAAGUCUGACCGGAGAACGCCGGGUGGGGGAAGAAGGUUUUCGGAUCGGAAAACUCCGUUUUAAGAGAAGAACGAAAGGGAGAGUGGAAAGUUCACACUGUGACGGUAUCUUACCAGAAAGGGACGGCUAACUACGUG
rnacentral:rRNA from 1 species